AACACACGCGUUUUUCUUUUCGAGCGUCUAUUUGGUUUGGUUGGAGCCUUCUGUAAAAGUGUGGUUCGAUAAUUUAUCUAAAGAGUUGGAACAAUUGUUGACCCGACUCACAUCCGUCAUUUUAGUGGGUCUAUCGAUUCGGCCCAAAUUAAAACUAUAUAUAUCUGAUGACUCAACUUUUAUAUCAUUUUGAGUUGACGGAACCAGCAACAAAAAAAAAAAAGUAAUAAGAGUGUGAAAAAGAGGAGUAAAAAAAAAAUUGGUAGAAAAAGAGAAAAAUACUUGAUGUUAUUUUUUUUA
rnacentral:lncRNA from 1 species